rnacentral:rRNA from 1 species
AUGAACCCCUUCUGCGAGAUUGCCGUGGAGGAGGCACUGCGGUUCCGCGAGGCCGGCGCCGCCUCCGAGGUCGUCGCAGCCAUCGUCGGUCCCGCGCAGGCCGCCGACACGCUCCGCACUGCGCUUGCCAUGGGCGCCGACCGCGCCGUCCACGUCCUCCACGACCCCGACCCCGACCCCGCCGCCCGCUCCUCCCGCUCGCUGUUGCCGAGAUUCUCCGCGCCCUCGCGCUCCAGGACACCCCCGACCUCCUCAUCCUCGGCAAGCAGCUCCUCGACCCCAUCCCGUCCGCGGCGGUGA